CCCCUAGAUGUUCUGGGCCGCACGCGCGCUACACUGAACAGUUCAACAAGUCUUAACCUUGGCCGAUAGGUCUGGGUAAUCUUUGAACGCUGUUCGUGAUUGGGAUAGACCUUUGCAAUUAUGGGUCUUCAACGAGGAAUUCCUAGUAAACGCAAGUCAUCAGCUUGCAUUGAUUACGUCCCUGCCCUUUGUACACACCGCCCGUCGCGCCUACCGAUUGAAUGGUCCGGUGAAAUCUCGGGACGGCGGCUUGGUCGCUUGCGUCCGACUGCUGAAACUUGAUUAAACCAUAUCAUUUAGAGGAAGGUGAAGUCGUAGCA
rnacentral:rRNA from 1 species